GCGGUGAAAUGCGUAGAGAUCUGAAGGAAUACCGGUGGCGAAGGCGGCCCCCUGGACAGAUACUGACACUCAGAUGCGAAAGCGUGGGGAGCAAACAGGAUUAGAUACCCUGGUAGUCCACGCCGUAAACGAUGUCUACUUGGAGGUUGUGGCCUUGAGCCGUGGCUUUCGGAGCUAACGCGUUAAGUAGACCGCCUGGGGAGUACGGUCGCAAGAUUAAAACUCAAAUGAAUUGACGGGGGCCCGCACAAGCGGUGGAGCAUGUGGUUUAAUUCGAUGCAACGCGAAGAACCUUACCUACUCUUGACAUCCAGAGAACUUUCCAGAGAUGGAUUGGUGCCUUCGGGAACUCUGAGACAGGUGCUGCAUGGCUGUCGUCAGCUCGUGUUGUGAAAUGUUGGGUUAAGUCCCGCAACGAGCGCAACCCUUAUCCUUGUUUGCCAGCGAGUAAUGUCGGGAACUCCAGGGAGACUGCCGGUGAUAAACCGGAGGAAGGCGGGGACGACGUCAAGUCAUCAUGGCCCUUACGAGUAGGGCUACACACGUGCUACAAUGGCGCAUACAGAGGGCGGCCAACUUGCGAAAGUGAGCGAAUCCCAAAAAGUGCGUCGUAGUCCGGAUUGGAGUCUGCAACUCGACUCCAUGAAGUCGGAAUCGCUAGUAAUCGUGGAUCAGAUUGCCACGGUGAAUACGUUCCCGGGCCUUGUACACACCGCCCGU
rnacentral:rRNA from 1 species